rnacentral:lncRNA from 1 species
UGACAGAGGGGUACCUUCCUGGUACGGAAGGGUGUCAAGGUAAACGACAAGGCAUGACUCGUCGUCCUUGGCUAGAGCAGGAGGCUUCAUGUUGGGCCGGUAGAUGAAUCUGCCUUGUGGAAUUGAAAUGAUAACCAGGCCCAGUUGUGGACCUGAUAACGGAGUCUCCUCAUCCAAAUCCAAGUAGUAGUCGAUGUCCUCGAUCAAAUUCGAGUUGAAUUGUGAUCAGGUCCGAGUUGAAUUGUGAUAUGGAUAGGGUAGCCUGGUAGGCAACACCCGAGUUUCAAAGUCCGAACAGGAAUCGACUUGUAUUGUAGACCGAUUUGCAUGAUGGCUUAAGCGCUAGCUCGUGGGAACCAAUCCGAC